AAAUAGAACUUUGCAGAGAGAGUUAAGAGGGCGUGAACCGUUAUUGAGUAACGAAUCGGAGCCACGAAGUCGUUUCGUUGUUCAGUUGGUUGGGGUUCAAUGGGCGACCACCAGGUCGCUCGUGUAUUCUCGCGACUGACCAUUGUAAGCGUACACUGCAACCAGUUAGACGAUUGGCCAUGGGCCCAGUUGCAGGCCGGCCCUUAAAAGCCGUCCUGUAGCGAAGCAUUUGUUUGCUCAAACUAGUAGUAGCAUGGUGCAUCUAGGUGCAUUCUUGUUGCUGGGUUUGUGGCGAGUGAGCUAUGGCCAAAUACUGACUGGCAAAAUGAAAAUCGCAUGCAUAUGCGUACUACAGAAUGCGACCGGCUACAUGCGUGUCUACGCCAUGGACUAUCAGGUUUAAGCUUGGCAUUUUUGAAUUCAGACUUGCUUGCUACCAGUGGGGCAACUCCUGGUGCUUGUAUAGCUUCUGUCUAAUCGGGUGUCGACUUGAUCUAAUAUCGUUCCAGGGCGAAGCGAUUGGGCGCGCACGUAGGCUGGCCAGCAAUUAUUGGCAGUGAGUAGGUCGGCUUUCCGAACGACCCGUCUUGAAACACGGACCAAGGAGUCUAAUUAGGCAUCGAGUCGAUCGGUCUUGAAUAGGCCAGACGUGGCGGUUUCAAACACCGUCCGAUUGAAGGCGAAGAGAAAUCAAAUCGUGUGAUCGUGGUAGGCAACAACAGCCUCCUCGCGCAACAUGUGCCUGUUCGUAUGGCAAUUGUCAGCAAUGACUUGCCGAGCGGAGCAAAGAGAUGCCUGAUUGGUACCCGAAAGAUGGUGAACUAUGCCUGGGCAAAUUGAAGCCAGAGGAAACUCUGGUGGAGGAUUGUAGCGAUUCUGACGUGCAAAUCGAUCGUCAGACCUGGGUAUAGGGGCGAAAGACUAAUCGAACCAUC
rnacentral:rRNA from 1 species